CACGUAGGGUGCGAGCGUUGUCCGGAAUUAUUGGGCGUAAAGAGCUCGUAGGCGGUGUGUCGCGUCGGCCGUGAAAACCUGCAGCUUAACUGUGGGGCUUGCGGUCGAUACGGGCAUCACUGGAGUUCGGCAGGGGAGACUGGAAUUCCUGGUGUAGCGGUGAAAUGCGCAGAUAUCAGGAGGAACACCGGUGGCGGAAGGCGGCU
rnacentral:rRNA from 1 species